rnacentral:rRNA from 1 species
GAUGAACGCUGGCGGCGUGCCUAAUACAUGCAAGUCGAGCGAACAGACGAGGAGCUUGCUCCUCUGACGUUAGCGGCGGACGGGUGAGUAACACGUGGAUAACCUACCUAUAAGACUGGGAUAACUUCGGGAAACCGGAGCUAAUACCGGAUAAUAUAUUGAACCGCAUGGUUCAAUAGUGAAAGACGGUUUUGCUGUCACUUAUAGAUGGAUCCGCGCCGCAUUAGCUAGUUGGUAAGGUAACGGCUUACCAAGGCAACGAUGCGUAGCCGACCUGAGAGGGUGAUCGGCCACACUGGAACUGAGAAACGGUCCAGACUCCUACGGGAGGCAGCAGUAGGAAAUCUGCCGCACUGGGCGAAAGCCUGACGGAGCAACGCCGCGUGAGUGAUGAAGGUCUUCGGAUCGUAAAACUCUGUUAUUAGGGAAGAACAAAUGUGUAAGUAACUAUGCACGUCUUGACGGUACCUAAUCAGAAAGCCACGGCUAACUACGU